rnacentral:rRNA from 1 species
GACGAACCGUGCGAACGUUGUUCGGAUUCACUGGGCUUAAAGGGCGCGUAGGCGGGCGAUCAAGUCAGGGGUGAAAGUCUUUCGGCCCCAACCGGAAAAGGGCCCCUGAUACUGGACCGUCUCGAGGGGGGUAGGGGCAUGCGGAACUUCCGGUGGAAGCGGUGAAAUGCGUAGAUAUCGGAAGGAACGCCGGUGGCGAAAGCGGUGUGCUGGACCCCUUCUGACGCUGAGGCGCGAAAGCCAGGGGAGCAAACGGG